ACGAACGCUGGCGGCGUGCCUAACACAUGCAAGUCGAGCGCGAAAGCAGCAAUGCGAGUAGAGCGGCGGACGGGUGCGUAACACGUGGGUAAUCUGCCUCAAAGCUUGGGAUAACCUUCCGAAAGGUUGGCUAAUACCAAAUAAGCUUCCGGCGCCUUUGGGCGCUGAAAGAAAAGGUGACCUCUGUUUACAAGUUAUCACUUUGAGAUGAGCCCGCGGCCCAUCAGCUAGUUGGCGAGGUAGUGGCUCACCAAGGCAACGACGGGUAGCUGGUCUGAGAGGACGAUCAGCCACACUGGAACUGAGACACGGUCCAGACUCCUACGGGAGGCAGCAGUGGGGAAUUUUGCACAAUGGGCGCAAGCCUGAUGCAGCAACGCCGCGUGUGUGAUGAAGGUCUU
rnacentral:rRNA from 1 species